rnacentral:lncRNA from 1 species
AUGAGACGAGAUGACUUUUUCUUAUUAUUCAUUAUCUUUGUGAGGGAAGCAACUUUCUAGUAAGUCUCCAAACACAAAAUACCAUAACUCAAUAUAGGGGCUUCACAUCACAUGACAACGCCCAAGAUCAGGAUUAAAGAGUACAAAAAUACAACGAGUAUCUCAAGCCCUCCGGCAUCACGCUGCAAUUUUUGACUUCAAGGUGCAAUUUCAUUUCAUGCUAUCAAAAUGAAGCAAAGCUCCAGCCCUCACUCCCAACUCCAACAACUUACAACCGAGACAAAACUAUGCAUGCCUCUAUACACUGGAAAAACUGGACCAUCAAGAUUUGACGGAGUAAACUUUGGUGAAUCUCCAAGCGCCUGAAUCCAGCUUUAUGCAAGGGGACAGGGAUGUUUCUUUCUCUGCAAAAUUUGGUCCCAACUAGAAGGAUGCUGGAUAAGGACAUUUACAAAUACAAUACAAUUGUCUAAAGUUCUGGUUCACCUGCAAUGCAACAGAUUCAUUAGCAUAAGCUUUCAUAAUUAAACCACGACCAUCAUCAUACGGUCCAUUGAGCCAAGGGAAUCCUCUAUUUAUGUACAAGAGUGGAAGUGAAAAAGCAAGCUAAUGCCAAAGAUGAGGUCUAUACCAUCAUCAUCAUCGCUUAUGUUAAAGUCAUCUUCGUCAUCAUCAAAAUCAAUGUUCUGCAAUAAUUUUCAGAGUUUUGGUGCAUCUAUUCCAGAUGCAUGCAUCUAUGAUAUUUGCUAUGACAAAUAUUUGCCGUGCUAACAGUUAAUCCCACACCGCCCCCCCCACCCAGGCAGGGAACGGGGGGGGGGGGGGGGGUGAGUGCUACCAGAUUAUAAUCACCAUCAUCGCUAUACUCCUCUUCUUCCUCUUCAACGUUUUCAUCUUCUUCCUCCUCUUCAUCCCCCUCCUCCUCAUUUAUUUCUUGACCCCAUUGCAUUUGAGGUGAAUAGAAACAGAAUUAUCAAGACAACCGACUACGACAAGCGAAGAAAGCGAGUAGAAAGAUACAUUCAUCUUCUCAAGAAUCCUUACUUCUAUUGUGCUACUGAAUAAAGAAAUCACUGUCUUUUACUUCUGCUGUUAUUGGUGUUUCAAUCUUCUCUACUGAAAGAGAGAAAGCAGUGCUUAAAACAAGCAGUGGCACUCUUACCUGACACUUCUGCUCAAGCUUUUCAAAGACAUCCAACUUCUGCAUGUCUGCCACAUGAAAAUUACUCAGUAUGAAACUUUAGACUCUACAAAAGGCAAGCAAAAGAGAGGCUUUACAGCCAGUUAAAGCCCUUGAAGCAUCACUCCGGUGUUAACAAUCUAGCACAGUCUGCUUCGUGGGAAACAAGUUUCAAUAUUUCUCAAGUCCUGGUUUUGGCGCCCCCCACCCCCCCAAACCAAAAAAACAACAUUUUAAACAGAAAAAACUAUCCUAGGUACCAAUUAGUCAAUUACUGGUUCCCAGAACCAACCAGUGAAAAGUAAACAAGUAUAAUUAAGCUUCUUUUUGGUGCGUAAAUAAUUAAUAUUACAGAUAUUGAUGAAAUAUUAAUUAUUUGAUCUUACAGAGUUUAACUCAAAACUUUUAUUCAGAGAAAAAAGUGACAUGGGACCCCUAAGCCCACAGUAGUUGAAGAGAUUUAAUUCUCAAUUCUGGUUUUUCUCAAGACAACCAAUUAUAAAAAAUCUUCAGAUAAGUUUAGAUUUCAAUUCAAUUACUUUACAAGAUGAAAGGCAAGUAAACGUAGAGAUUGAUUGAUCACUGAUUCAGAUACGCUUUCUUUGUACCUUUCAAAUACUUACAAUUCACUGCCCCACCACAAGACUUAACAGACUCAAUCUAUUUUCAAUCAGCUCAGAUUCAUUCAAUUGAAAAGAAAUUUUUCACAACCAAGAAAGUGAUCAAGCAGCUUAAAAGAAAGGAAAAGUUAGGUAGACAAGACAUAUGAUAAAAGGCAACAAAUUCAGUUUUAGUUACUGGAAAUAGUUCAAAUUUCACUUGCUUGGCAGCAUGAAAGCCACCACCACCAAAGCCAUUACGUCCUCGCCCUCCAAAUGCCAUGUAACAAAAUGUUCUUCUUUGCUUGCCUCCUAACAAAAAAUAGGCCAGAAAGGUGCAUCAUUAUCCCGUAAACUGGAGCAAAAAUAGGGGCAUAUACAAGGUACUGAUAUAUGUCGUUCUAACUUUUCUAAAAGGCAACAGGUGGAACAAUGUGGUUAAUUAUAGCUAUAAAUACCAAAAUUUGGUUUACAGAGCUUCUCAAAAAAGGUCAGGGCCAAUCUUUUCCACCAUUUUUUUCCGGCCCAGGGGUGGGGGGGGGGGGGGGGGGUCUCUUUUCUUUUGCAAUUAUUUAAGAAAAUUUUCUUUGUUUGGAUAGAGUAUUAUUCCAAAAAAUUUCUUUGUUUCGAAUAAUUACUGUAGCACUUUUUGUAAUGUGAUGUACGUGAGAUAAAAAGGUGGAUUGGAAAAUGUGUUUAUGAUGCAAACGAAAAUUUUUUUUGGCAAAAUUUGCUAUCCAAACAGAACAUUUAACUGAAGAAAUUGUUGAAAAUCUAGAAUAUCUUUUUCUAUGUAUAUCCCAUGAUUUCUGCUAUAUCCCAUGAUUUCUGCUCUAUUUCAGGAUAGAAUAAUUUACUCCUAAUGUAUUUUAGGAUAGAAUAAAUUAGCUCCUAAUUUUUAGGAAAUUACAGAUUUCAUGGAAUUGACAAAAGUCAAAUUCCAUUUGUAUAAAUAUUGUACAGAGUCUAGAACAAAAGAUAUGACAGAACAAUUCAGUUUUUCUUUUUGUUCAUGGUAUCAGAGCUUUUGCUCUUGGGACCUCUUCUUGUCAGCCUUCAUUGCUGAGUGCUUUCCUCUCUUCAAGUCUUUAUUGCCAAGUGCAAUUUCCAGCCUUCAUUGCUGAUUUUUUCAUUAGGCCUUCAUUGCCAAUUUUUCUUUGAAACCUCCAACAUGUCUGAAACUGAAACAUUAGAAAUCCACUCCAAUACCAAAUCAGAAGAGACCUCAAAUAUUCCACAAACAGGGGAUUUGCAGAGUAUCCAGGCAGCCUAUAGGCUCAACGGGAAAAACUAUUUGAAGUGGUCACAAUUUGUUCAAACAUUUCUCAAAGGAAAGGGCAAAAUCAGCCACUUGCUUGGAUUUGGAUCGAAAAAGGGAGAUCCUAAAUUCGCUGCUUGGGAUGAAGAGGAUUCUAUGGUCAUGUCAUGGCUAUGAAACUCCAUGUUACCUGAAAUAAGCGAUACUUGCAUGUUCCUACCAACAGCUCAAGAUAUAUGGACUACAAUUCGACAGACCUAUUCAAAGGCAAGAGAUGCUGCCCUAAUCUAUGAGAUCAAAACAAAGAUCUCAGCCACUAAACAAGGCAACCUUUCUGUUACUCAAUAUGCCAACCUUCUGCAAAAUCUAUGGCAGGAACUGGACCAAUAUCGGUGUGUUCAGAUGUUGUGUAGUGAAAAUGCAGCCACCUUGAAAAACUUUAUCGAAAAGGAUCGAGUUUAUGACUUCCUUGCAGGUCUGAAUGUGGAAUUUGAUCAGGUCAGAGUCCAGAUAUUGGGGAAGGAAAGAUUAUCAUCUCUGAAUGAGACAAUAUCAUUGAUUCGAGCUGAAGAGAAUAGGCGAGAAGUCAUGUUAGAGCCUAAAACAUUAGAAGGCUCGGCAAUGAUUUCUACAAAGUCAAAUAAAGACACAAUUUGGUGCACGUACUGCAAAAAAUCACGCCAUACGCGAGAUGAUUGCUUCAAACUCCAUGGGAAGGAACAAGUCCUUAGUCGUAAAGGAGGAUUCAAAGGGGGAAAAGCCCACUUAACUGCUGGAGAAGACCAAACACAAGAAAAAUCCAACCAAGCUGGUAUGGGAGAAUUCAAGAAAGAAGAAAUCGAAAAGCUAAGAAACCUCCUAAAUUCCCUUGAAAAGUCCUCUAGUACGUGUUCAUUGGCUCAAUCAGGUAAGUAACUUAACUCUUAUGCUUUAAGUGCCUCAAGCAUGUUUUCUCUAGGCUCUUGGGUCAUCGACUCAGGAGCUACUGACCAUAUGACUCACAGCCCAAUCAGAUUUAGAACAUACAACCCAUGUCCUGGAAAUAGAAAAAUUACUGUUGUGGAUGGAUCUCCUAUAACUGUUGCAGGCCAAGGGACAGUAAAUCUAUCAAAUUCUUUAUCCCUAAAUAAUGUGUUGCAUGUCCCAAAAUUGUCCUCCAAUAUCAUAUCCAUCCAUCAAAUUACCAAAGAUCUGAACUGUAGAGUAAUUUUCUAUUCUACUCACUGUGUUUUUCAGGAUUUGAUUACGGGGAGGACGAUUGGACUUGCUAAGGUGAAUGACGGGCUUUAUUACCUUGAGGAGAUGAGUGGCAACAAGAAGAACAAAAAUCAGUUAUCCCUCACCUGCUCCUCAAAUAAUAAAUCUGAAAUCUGGCAUCAUCAUUUCCGUCUUGAUCAUCCAUCUUUUAUUCUACUUAAAAGCAUGUUUCCUUCAUUUUUCAAGAAUGAAGAUGUUAGUAGUUUUCAUUGUGAUACAUGUGAAAUUGCUAAACAUCAUAGACUAUCAUUUCCAUUGAGUAAUACAAGAUCUACUAGACUUUUCUCUUUGAUACAUACUGAUAUUUGGGGGCCUUGUAGAAUUUCUAGUAUUUCUGGAGCAAAAUGGUUUGUCACAUUCAUUGAUGAUUGUACUAGAACUACUUGGUUAUUUCUUAUGAAAGAAAAAUCAGAAGUAAGCAGUAUUUUUCCAAUGUUUCAUAAAAUGAUUUGUACACAAUUUGGAAGUUUGAUUAAAAGAGUAAGAUCUGAUAAUGCAAGAGACUAUUUUAAUCAAAUUCUCUCAUCUUUUUUCCAAAAAGAGGGUAUAAUACAUGAGUCAUCUUGUGUAGAUACACCCCAACAAAAUGGGAUUGUUGAACGAAAAAAUAGACAUUUACUCAAUGUGACUCGAGCAAUUUUGUUUCAACAUAAAGUUCCAAAAACUUUUUGGGGAGAGGCUGUUUUAAUUGCUGCACAUUUGAUAAAUAGAGUACCUUCAAAAGUACUAAAUAAUCAAAGUCCCACUGCUGCUCUUUCUGUUUUUUACCCUGAUUUUAAUGUCUCUUGCACAUUGUCACCAAAAGUGUUUGAUUGUGUUGCUUUUGUACAUGUUCAUGCACACCAAAGAGGGAAACUUGAUCCAAGAGCUUUAAAAUGUAUUUUUGUGGGAUACUCAAACACAAAGGAUAUAAGUGUUAUCAUCCACCUUCAAAAAAAUUUUGUACCUCCAUGGAUGUCACAUUUGUUGAAAAUGAACCUUACUCUCAAAGUAACAACCCUCAUCCCCAGGGGGAGAGUUCUUGGGAAGAUAAGGAAUUUCUCCUUGAUCUUCAGAGUCCUACACUAAACUUAAAGUCUUUCAAGCCUGACCAUACACCAAAUUCUAAAGGAGAACAUACUAGCAGUGAACCUGAACCUGAAUUUGAAGUUGAACAUGCCAGUAAAGAAAUUGAACCUGAUCUUGGAGCUGAGGGAAAAUCUGGUUUAAAUCCAACUACACCACUCAAGGUCUACUCAAGGAAGAAAGUUCAUAUUUCUGAACCUGUGCAAAUCCAAGAAUCUGAACCACAAUCAGGUACUGAAAAUUCUAUUCCUUUGUGUGUUCAAUCUGACUCUGCUCCUUGUGAAUUUAAUGAUUUAGACCUGCCUAUUGCUGUUCGAAAAGGAACAUGAGAAUGCACUAAGCAUCCAAUCUCAAAUUUCGUGUCUUUCCAUAGACUCUCUCCACAACAUAAAACUUUCCUUACCACCAUUAACUCCAUUUCAAUCCUACAAACACUAUAAGAGGCACUUAGAAAUAAGAACUGGUUACAUGCUAUGAAAGAGGAGAUGAAUGCCCUAGAGAGAAAUAAGACUUGGAAAAUUGUAAACCUGCCUAAAGGAAAGAAAACAGUGGGGUGUAAAUGGGUGUUUACUUUGAAAUAUAGAGCUGAUGAUUCAUUAGAAAGGCAUAAAGCUCGGUUGGUCGCAAAAGGAUAUACACAGACAUAUGGGAUAGAUUACCAAGAGACCUUUGCACCCGUUGCAAAAAUGAAUACUGUGCGUGUUCUUUUGUCUUUAGCUGCUAACUUUGGUUGGUGUUUACAGCAAUUUGAUGUUAAGAAUGCGUUCUUACAUGGGGAUUUAGAAGAAGAGGUGUACAUGGAACCUCCACCGGGUUUCAAUGAAAUGUUUUUUGAAAAGAAAGUGUGCAGGUUAAAGAAAGCUUUAUAUGGAUUAAAACAAUCGCCAAGGGCUUGGUUCGGAAGAUUUACUAAAGUGAUGCUAGCAAUGCAAUACAAACAAAGUCAAGGAGAUCAUACUUUGUUCAUAAAACAUUCAAAAGGAGGUGUUACAGCUCUACUUGUAUAUGUAGAUGACAUCAUCAUCACCGGAAAUGAUCCAAUUGAAAGAGAAACACUCAAAAAGUGCUUAGCAAAGGAGUUUGAAAUUAAAGAACUAGGGAGGCUGAAGUAUUUUUUAGGCAUUGAGGUGGCAUACUCAAGUAAAGGCAUCUUUGUUUCCCAACAAAAGUAUGUCUUAGACUUGCUUAAAGAAACAGGCAAUCUUGGAUGCAAGGCAGCAAGCACACCCAUUGAGCCUAACCUGAGAAUGAAUGAAGAGAAGGAUGAUAGCACAAUAGAUAAGGGAAGAUAUUAGCGGUUGGUUGGGAAAUUGAUAUACUUGUCCCAUACAAGGCCGGACAUAGCAUUUGCUGUAAGUGUAGUAAGCCAAUUUAUGCAUGAUCCAAGAGAGAAACACUUGCAGGCUGUCAAUAGAAUUCUAUCCUACCUCAAAGGGACACCGGGUAGAGGAAUUUUGUUCAAGAAAAAUGAAGGAUUGCUCAUAGAGGCAUAUACUGAUGCUGAUUAUGCAGGUUCUGUUGUAGAUCGUAGAUCAACUUCAGGAUAUUGUACAUUUUUUGGUGGGAACCUAGUGACAUGGAAGAGUAAGAAGCAAUCGGUUGUUGCAAGAUCAAGUGCUGAAGCAGAGUUUAGAGCUAUGGCUCAUGGAGUUUGUGAAUUGCUAUGGCUCAAAAUAAUACUUGAUGAUCUUAAAAUCAAGAGCAAAGGACCUAUGAAACUCUAUUGCGACAACAAGUUUGCCAUCAACAUUGCACACAAUCCAGUGCAACAUGAUCGCACAAAGCACAUCGAAGUUGAUAGACAUUUUAUUAAAGAAGAGCUGGACAGUGGUAUGAUUUGCACUCCAUAUGUAGCAUCAAAUAAUCAAUUGGCAGAUGUCUUAACUAAGGGAAUGCCAACUUCCAACUUUGAAGACAUUACAUGCAAGAUGGGAAUGGAAAAUAUCUAUUCACCAUCUUGAGGGGGAGUGUUGAAAAUCUAGAAUAUCUUUUUCUAUGUAUAUCCCAUGAUUUCUGCUAUAUUCCAUGAUUUCUGCUCUAUUUUAGGAUAGAAUAAUUUACUCCUAAUGUAUUUUAGGAUAGAAUAAAUUAGUUCCUAAUUUUUAGAAAAUUACAGAUUUCAUGGAAUUGACAAAAGUCAAAUUCCAUUUGUAUAAAUGUUGUACAAAGUCUAGGACAAAAGAUAUGACAGAACAAUUCAGUUUUUCUUUUUGUUCAGAAAUCAGUACUCCUAUACAUACAACUGCGGAAGACAAGUUUCAUCUAAACCACCAAAGGAGUCCUACCCUCGAGAAAUUCAUAUAUCCAAUCACGUGGUUGACGUUUAUCUGCUGGUGGAAAAAAAAGAGUAGGAAAUUAGAAAAGUUUAGUGAAGGUGAUAUCACUUCCAUGACAGCAAGAAAAAACUGAUGGGGAAGAAGGAAUGCACAUCUUUAGGCAUGGUAUGCUUUAAGCAUUUCUUAUAUGUUGCCAACAAAUGUCCAAUCAGCUAUGGUUACACAUCAUUAGAUAUUAUUCUCAAUUUAGAGGCCGUUUAGUUAAGAGUUACUUGGGUGACCAGAGGGAGGGUACAUAUAUCAAUUUCUGUAAUGUAAAGACACACUUGUAGUCCACAUGAUUAUGCUAAUCUUACAGGCUCCAUUAAAGAUCAAGGAGAGUUCACCGUAAAAUCCCCAAAAAAUGAACUUUCCCUUUGGAAAUACUCCUUACAUAAGUUAUAACCAUGUGAAAGAAAAAAAGUGAUACUUUUCUGGUGAUACUUGUUCAUUAGGCUUUAACUAUUCUGCUGCCUCCGCCUAAUGCAAUCAUCUAGCUACUGUUCCUCAGAUUCUAUAUGUCCAUCAAUGGGCGCCAUGCCUACUGAUAUUUUUCCUCAUUCCAAAUGAAACAUAUCCACUCUGAUGGAAAAAAAGAUGAUCCCAAAACUCACCAAGUGAAUUUUACACUAAUGAAGUUGAGAGUCUAUUAGGAUGUUUUUCCUUAUUUCUAAUAAAACAUAUCCACUCUGAUUGGAAAAAGGAUGAUCCCAAAACUCGCCCAGUGAAUUUUACACUAACGAAGUUGAGAAUCGAUCAGGGUAGCCAUAUAUUCAUUGCACAUGGGAAAAAGCCAACACGACAGCAAAAAAUGUUGGAGACACAAAAGCUCUCUGAUUUCUUCACAAGCCUAAAGUGAUUUUUUUUUUUUAUUGCAUGAAAUAAAAGUCUCUUAGCGCAAACACAUUUCCAUCUCCCAAUCAGCUUAUAUGAACGCUGGAAACUGAAGGAAAAUUCACCACUCCAAAAAUGGGGAACAGAAAAAUAAAAUGUGACGCCCCCACUUUUCCCUAAGGCGAACCAAAGGGUAUCCGCAGGACGCCUGCCUAGCUCUCGCCAGAAUUCAAGCAAUUCCAUUCAACUUAUAUCCGGACCACACAAUACAAAUCGAUAACUUAGAUACAAUAAUUGCGGAAGUGUUCAAACUUAAUAACAGUUAUCCAUUCUUCAAACCACCCGUCAGCAUACAUAAUACAUUUCGUCCAAAGCCAAAGGCAUAAACAAAAGUAAUAGCAACCCUAAAACAAAAGCACAUCAAGAGGGCCGCUCCAUUUUACCUCUGAACUCAACCUGUUAAGGAAAACAAAUCUACAGGAUGAGCAAAACGCUCGUGAGGCCAAGAACACACAUGCAAACACAUAGUUCAGAUAACAAUCCUAAAUAACAAUUCAGGUAUUAGCUUGCAAGUAAUUAAUAACACCAAUAAACUGUAACCAGAAACAAUUCAAAGAUAUAGAAGCUCUCAGGAGCUAAGUUCCACAUUUGCCGAUACCAUUUAUAUAUCUUUCCGUGAUGACUCUCCGUCAAUCGGAUUGAUAUUUUCAUAUCCGUAGUUCACCACUUACUUCCCAUUCGUCCACCAUACACCACUUCGGGCCCGCACGACAUUUAUAAGGCGAUACUUUACGAGUAUACCAAGCGAGAUCUCUCAAUAGAUCAAGUUUAUCAUUUGAAUCUCAUGGUUCACCGAGGUUCCCGACCAAACCCAUGCCGGCUCGAGUUCCAAGGUCGGCCUAUGAGUUUGGGCGUCCCCCAUGUGUCAUGUAAAUGUCGAGGAGAUUCACUCCAUCGACGUAUGCAAUCAUAGCAUACCAUUUCAUGUAUUCAAGCAUUUGAUAGGUUUAAGCAGGCAUUUCAAGUCAUGUAAACCAAGCAAAUCAUGUUAAGCAUGAGUCAUUCGUUUCAAAUGAGAACGAGUGCGAUCAAGUACACACUCGACUCCAUUUUGUCAAAAUCAGUUAAGCUAAGCAUGAAAUCAGGUGAAUCAAGCAUGAAUCAAGACUUUAGAGUUCAAGUAGGCAUACACUUGACACUCACCAAGUUAUGCAAGCAAGUAAAUUGGAGGAAGAGUUCAAACUUCCACAGUAGGGUCCUCUUGGAGGUCCUCGUGCGUGCUUGAGCAAAUAAUAGUGAAUUAUCACCCAUAUCCCAAAUAUCGAGGAAUAAUUCGUUCACUAGUAUUACUCUAGGAAAUUCGGUGAAAAUGAACCUCAAUUACUCGUAAAUCGAGGUUCGAGAGAGGUUUGAUAACAUUCAACAAUAUUUAAGUCUUUAUCUAGAAAAUCGGUGAUAAAACGUUUAGAUAAUAUCAAAAGAAUAAAGAGUUCUUGAAAAACUCUAUUUCCUUGAAAGUUGGAAAAUUUUCAGUUUUGUUAUGAAUCUUUGAAAAAUCGUAACUCACUCGGCAUAAGUCGAGAAUUGGAAAACUUUAUACCGUUGAAAACCUCUUAGAAAGUACUGCAAGUUCCUAGAAGACACUGAUUCAUGAAUCGAAGUGGAAAGUGCUCAAAAAUGAGCAUAAAGUUGCUGUUCCAAAUCACCCAGGAUUGAGCCGGGGUUGGUUUUUCGCUAACUUUGAAAAUUCGGCAGAAUUCACUCGUUGCAAACCAGCCCUUGAAAUUUAUAGAUCAAUUAGAGGUGUAAGUAAGGUUUAGGGCAGAACAAACGGAUCGAGAAUCGGAGUUUCGAGCACCAAGAUAUGGUAGCUCAAAGUUGGGAAAAAAUUGAAGACUGUUACAAAAUUUCCAGAUUUGGUUCCGACUUUGGACCUUUUGUUAAGUGUCGAAACGGACUUGGAUUGACACCAAAUUUUGCAGUAUACUACUUCCAUAUGAAAGUUAUUUCUCUAUCAAAUUUCAUGGAAAAAUACCCUCGGAAGGGUGGUCAUUCAAUCAACCAAAGUUUGGAAAAAUCCUUAAGGCAAUCUGUCCAAAGCUAAGGUUUUCAAAAAUAAGGCAGUCGCCGUAUUUUGAUCAUAACUCUCUCAAUUUAACUUGGAAUUGGAAAUGGUUGAUAGUGUUAGACAAUACAUUCACAAAGCUACAACUUUACAGAAGAAAUCGUUCCAAGUUUCAGCAUGCAACUGGUUCAAAAUCAAGCCUCAAGUUGCAGCAUCAUCAAAUCAUUUUGGCAGAACGGAGAAACAGGACAGCCGACUUCAGAUGAAUGGUGUGGCUCACACACAUGAAACCAGAAUGUGCACUAUACACCGUUGGAAACAUGGGAACGUCUAGUUUCAAAUGCCGCUAACGGCACUUGAUUUCGACGUCGGAGUACAGAGUUAUGGACGAAACACGAACACUGGUCUGGUUACGACGGCAACCGUUUUCCCAGAUUACUAGAUUUGGAAAUAAAUUCGUUUGACCCAUCAAAACUCAAUAUUUUUCAAUGAAAUUUUGUACACAACUACUACAACAUAUAUACAACAUAAUCAAGCCAUUAAAUCCUCAAAAUUCUGCAUUUAAGUGACCGAACAGAGCAGGGGUAAAAUAGGAAUUUUUUGUUUCAAGAGUUCAAUAACGUUUCUGGUAACAAAGCACCUUUAAUCUACUUCCUUAAGCUCUAAUUCAGCAAAUAAACCAUCAUCAAACAUCAUCACAGCCAUCAACCCAAAGUGGGAGUUCAUAGAGCCCACAUUUUCAACAAUACAAGCUAUUAAAGUAAAGAUUCCAACUCAAAUGCGUAAAUCAACUUCCAUAAGACAAGUUGAAGGUGUUAGAUUACUACCUACUUUGAUGGCUGGUUUGGACAGAUUUUUCGGUCCUUUGAAGCUUGAAGAAACCGUGAAAGCUCCUCCCUUUUUCAGCCUAUGUUGUUGUCCAAGUGAAAAACUAAAUGAAUGUGAAGUUUGGUGAGAAUCUAUGGAAGUUUUGGUAGGAAUUUGGUUGAGUUUUGGAAGAGAAGAAAUGGUGAAGCUUCGGUUGUUCCUUUGCUGCAGUCUAGCCGUCCAUUGCAGCAGAGGAAAGGAAAUGAAUUGCGGUUCCGAAGCCUUUGCGUAUAAGAGACGCUUGACGUCAAAUCUUUUAAUACGUCAAAUCAAUUAUAACUAGUACCCUACACUCGCGUUUUGUGUUUGAUUUCUCUUACGUUUGUUGCACUAGUGCACUAAACCUCUAAGGCACUUACAUUUGUAUAAAUAUUAUUCAUUCCUAGUUGUCUCAAAAUAAUGGUCCAAAGUCUCCCAAUUAAGCGCGCACGUGAAAACACGUAUUUCUAAUUUAGGCGCAAUAAAAUUGAAACUUUUGAAAAAUUCUUAUAACGAUUGUACCACUAGUUAUUACUUGUGUGUUUAAACCUAAAAUUGUCUAUUUUAGAAUCAUUGUAUAUGUCUUAAAUUUUUAGCUUAUUGCACUCCCAAUUGACUAAAGUUGAAAUACGUUUUCACUUUUUCACUAAUUAAGUUUUUAUGAAAAUAUUUGUUUAUUCAUCUAUAUUUUUAUUUUAUUUUAUUUUUUAAAAUGAGACACUUUAGAAAUAUAAUGAACUAUAAAAUCAUGAACUUAGAUCUAAUAGGCUAGAAAAUAUUAUUCGUGACAAAAAUUCAAAUAAAUAAUUAAUUGAGUCAAAAUUAGAAAUUUUAAAAUAAUAAAAAUUUCGAGUCCUCCCGUAAAAACCACUUCCCAAAAUGCAAAUGUACUUGUUUUUUUUUUCAAUCUGAACCUUAGGCAUUCAAUUCUAAACCUUUAAUCCGGAAGCUAAAUGUUAAAUCAGCUCUAGCUCUAAGAAUUAAAGACUCAACAAAUUACGCUCAUUCGAUUUGAGGCAGAACAAGAAAUUCCGUCUACAUAGCCAAUAUUCCAUGAGCGAACCUCGCUAUCAAAAAGGAAAAGAAAAAAGGGAAUAAUUCAACCCAAAAAGAUGCUUGUGAAAGAAACCAAUUUCCUUCUUUAAAAAGCUCUCGAAUUUAAUCAAUAUCCAGAAUUUACCUGAAGUUCCGGUGUUUUGCAGGAACUCCGGCGAGUUUAAGAAUUGGGGAAAGAAGAAAAACACACAGAGGUGGAGACCGGAACUUUCUAGCCAUGGCUGGACUCCAAAAUUGUGACAGAGGAAGGAGGCGGCGGAGAAAGAGCAGAGCCUGGGAC